CGCCGGGGAGGACACCGCCCCCCGCACAGCGCGGCCGCUGGGCGGCGCCAACGGGGCGCGGGACGAGGGAUGAGGGGAGCGGGGCUGUAAGGAAGGGUUUUCCAGCCGCAGUCAGCGCUGGCAUCGUGGCACGGCCGGAGCGCGGCCCCUUCGGCUCAGCGCAAUCAAACUAGUCAAGCCCAGGCUGCUGGCAGGAAAGGGUCUUUUUGAGUACACUCUG